UGAAUACGAGGCACUAAGGUGCUGAAGUAGUGUAUGUCAUACUUCCAAGAAAAGCUUGCACUAUCGUAAGAUAAAAAUGCCUGUACCAUAACCGACACAGGCGGGUAGGUAGAGUAUACUAAGGGGCGCGAGAUAACUCUCUCUAAGGAACUCGGCAAAAUAACUCCGUAACUUCGGGAGAAGGAGUGCCUUAUUCUAUAAGGUUGCAAUAACAAGAUCCAAGCAACUGUUUAUCAAAAACACAGGUCUCCGCUAAGUCGUAAGACGAUGUAUGGGGGCUGACGCCUGCCCAGUGCCAGAAGGUUAAAGAAGUCGGUUAGCAAUUGCGAAGCUGGUAACUGAAGCCCUGGUGAACGGCGGCCGUAACUAUAACGGUCCUAAGGUAGCGAAAUUCCUUGUCGGGUAAGUUCCGACCCGCACGAAAGGCGUAAUGAUUUGGAUACUGUCUCGGAGAGGGACUCGGUGAAAUAGACUUGUCUGUGAAGAUGCGGACUACCUGCACCAGGACAGAAAGACCCUAUGAAGCUUUACUGUAACUUGAAAUUGAAAUUGGACUUUAUUCGCGCAGUAUAGGUGGGAGGCGUUGAUUAUAAUCUUGUGGGAUUAUUGGAGCCAUUAGUGAGAUACCACUCUUGUAAUGUUAGAUUUCUAACUUUGAAUCAUGAUCUGGUCAAAGAACAGUUUCAGGCGGGCAGUUUGACUGGGGCGGUCGCCUCCUAAAUGGUAACGGAGGCGUACAAAGGUUUCCUCUGAACGGGUAGAAAUCGUAUCUAGAGUGUAAAGGCAUAAGGAAGCUUGACUGUGAGACCUACAAGUCGAGCAGGGACGAAAGUCGGUCUUAGUGAUCUGACGGUACUGAGUGGAAAGGCCGUCACUCAACGGAUAAAAGUUACUCUAGGAUAACAGGCUGAUCUCCCCCAAGAGUUCACAUCGACGGGGAGGUUUGGCACCUCGAUGUCGGCUCAUCGCAUCCUGGGGCGGUAGUACGUCCCAAGGGUUGGGCUGUUCGCCCAUGAAAGCGGUACGCGAGCUGGGUUCAGAACGUCGUGAGACAGUUCGGUCCAUAUCCGGUGUAGGCGUUAGAAUAUUGAGAGGAGCCUUCUUUAGUACGAGAGGACCGAGAAGGACAUACCUCUGGUGUACCAGUUAUCGUGCCAACGGUAAACGCUGGGUAGCUAUGUAUGGAGUGGAUAACCGCUGAAAGCAUCUAAGUGGGAAGCCCACCUCAAGAUAAGUAUUCUCA
rnacentral:rRNA from 1 species